UACGUAGGGGGCAAGCGUUGUCCGGAUUUAUUGGGCGUAAAGAGCGUGUAGGCGGCCAGGGAGGUCCGUUGUGAAAACUCGAGGCUCAACCUCGAGACGCCGAUGGAAACCCCCUGGCUAGAGUACGGAAGAGGCGAGUGGAAUUCCUGGUGUAGCGGUGGAAUGCGCAGAUAUCAGGAGGAACACCCGUGGCGAAGGCGGCUCUCUGGGACGGUACUGACACUGAGACGCGAAAGCGUGGGGAGCGAACAGG
rnacentral:rRNA from 1 species